GUUGAUAUAGUUUAACCAAAACAUUAGAUUGUGAUUCUAAAAACAGAAGUUAAAAUCUUCUUAUCCACC
rnacentral:tRNA from 1 species